UUCUCCCUUUUUCUCUCUCAUUUUUUCAUUCCAUUUUUUCUUCACUCUCCCCCCUCACCACCAUGGCCACUCACAGAGACACAGCCCUUCCUUCUCCCUUCUCUCUUUCUUCCCCAUUUUCUCUCUUACUUUCCUUUAUUGCUUCUCCCCACACACACACUCACACGACCUCACCAUCAGACCCUCUUCCCACACUCUAUUUACCCGCGACACCCAAACCCAGUGCAUCUUGCUGCACAACCUUCUUUUCCACUUUAGGCUUCAAGCGUGAGGUCUUGAAUACCUAAUUUUUGUCUGAGGAAUUGACGAUCAGAAGAUCAGAGCUUGUAUGCCAUUGACAGUAUCGUCAGGACUUUGAGUAGCAUCAACCUUGAGUAUGCCUUCUGAAGGAUCAAGCUGAAGUGAGUCCAACUGAGACUGAAGAAGGUUUGGAGGCAUGAAAUGAUUCCCUUCUGCUGCUCUUUUCUCUAGCCGAGCGGCUAUCACCUCAGCCCGGGCAUCCAACAAAACAAACUUCACCAUGCUUUCAAAGCUUCCAUGCUCAUAGUUAGGGUCUGCAGACCUAAGAAUUUCUCGGUAAUUCUUCUGCAGGGCAGAGCACCCGAGAACCACAGUGUUGUUGCUAAGCAAGUGCUCUCUUAAAGCAUUCCUUAGUGUUUCAAGCCAGGGAAUCCGGUCUUUGUCUGAUAGAGCAAUCCCUCUCUUCAUCUUAUCUGUUUUGUGGCACAAAUGACAAUUUCAAUGAAAUGAGGAUGACAUUUUUCGGUACGAUUCAAAUUUGAAGUUGUGUAUUUACCUUUAUUUGAUUCUGGGUGGAAAUCAUCAGCAUCAAGAAAGCUGCAAUUCAGGACUUUUGCAAGCAUAUUCCCUAUUGUACUGUUGAAACACCAUUCAAUACAUGAGCAGAUGCAGAAAUUACUGUUUGUUUGUCAAGAAAAUGCAGUGAAAAAAAAUGAGACUAGGGUUUUGUUC